CGGAGAGUUUGAUCCUGGCUCAGAUUGAACGCUGGCGGCAUGCCUUACACAUGCAAGUCGAACGGCAGCACGGAGCUUGCUCUGGUGGCGAGUGGCGAACGGGUGAGUAAUAUAUCGGAACGUACCCUGGAGUGGGGGAUAACGUAGCGAAAGUUACGCUAAUACCGCAUACGAUCUACGGAUGAAAGUGGGGGAUCGCAAGACCUCAUGCUCGUGGAGCGGCCGAUAUCUGAUUAGCUAGUUGGUAGGGUAAAAGCCUACCAAGGCAUCGAUCAGUAGCUGGUCUGAGAGGACGACCAGCCACACUGGAACUGAGACACGGUCCAGACUCCUACGGGAGGCAGCAGUGGGGAAUUUUGGACAAUGGGCGAAAGCCUGAUCCAGCAAUGCCGCGUGAGUGAAGAAGGCCUUCGGGUUGUAAAGCUCUUUUGUCAGGGAAGAAACGGUGAGGGCUAAUAUCUCUUGCUAAUGACGGUACCUGAAGAAUAAGCACCGGCUAACUACGUGCCAGCAGCCGCGGUAAUACGUAGGGUGCAAGCGUUAAUCGGAAUUACUGGGCGUAAAGCGUGCGCAGGCGGUUUUGUAAGUCUGAUGUGAAAUCCCCGGGCUCAACCUGGGAAUUGCAUUGGAGAC
rnacentral:rRNA from 1 species